rnacentral:rRNA from 1 species
UACACACCGCCCGUCACACCAUGGGAGUGGGCUGCACCAGAAGUAGGUUGCUUAACCUUCGGGAGGGCGCUUACCACGGUGUGGUUACAUGACUGGGGUG